AAUUCGAUUAGAGUUUGAUCCUGGCUCAGAUUGAACGCUGGCGGCAUGCCUUACACAUGCAAGUCGAACGGCAGCACGGGAGCUUGCUCCUGGUGGCGAGUGGCGAACGGGUGAGUAAUACAUCGGAACGUACCCAGGAGUGGGGGAUAACGUAGCGAAAGUUACGCUAAUACCGCAUAUUCUGUGAGCAGGAAAGCGGGGGAUCGCAAGACCUCGCGCUCUUGGAGCGGCCGAUGUCGGAUUAGCUAGUUGGUGAGGUAAAAGCUCACCAAGGCGACGAUCCGUAGCAGGUCUGAGAGGAUGAUCUGCCACACUGGGACUGAGACACGGCCCAGACUCCUACGGGAGGCAGCAGUGGGGAAUUUUGGACAAUGGGGGCAACCCUGAUCCAGCCAUGCCGCGUGAGUGAAGAAGGCCUUCGGGUUGUAAAGCUCUUUCGGCGGGGAAGAAAUGGCAACGGCUAAUAUCCGUUGUUGAUGACGGUACCCGCAUAAGAAGCACCGGCUAACUACGUGCCAGCAGCCGCGGUAAUACGUAGGGUGCGAGCGUUAAUCGGAAUUACUGGGCGUAAAGCGUGCGCAGGCGGUUUCGUAAGACAGACGUGAAAUCCCCGGGCUCAACCUGGGAACUGCGUUUGUGACUGCGAGGCUAGAGUACGGCAGAGGGGGGUAGAAUUCCACGUGUAGCAGUGAAAUGCGUAGAGAUGUGGAGGAAUACCGAUGGCGAAGGCAGCCCCCUGGGUUGGGUACUGACGCUCAUG
rnacentral:rRNA from 1 species